CCAGAGAAUGCCCAUGCCACACAUGCUCUGGCGUGCAGCAAGUUACCCCAGGUAGGGAACGGGAGGCCGGAGCCAGCAACUAUGCUAGACCCACCAGCCUCAUCU